rnacentral:rRNA from 1 species
UACGGGGGGGGCAAGCGUUGUUCGGAAUUACUGGGCGUAAAGGGCGCGUAGGCGGUGCUCUAAGUCGGAUGUGAAAACUCUGGGCUCAACCCAGAGCCUGCAUCCGAAACUGGAGUGCUAGAGUUCUGGAGGGGGUAGCGGAAUUCCUGGUGUAGCGGUGAAAUGCGUAGAUAUCAGGAGGAACACCGGUGGCGAAGGCGGCUACCUGGACAGAAACUGACGCUGAGGCUCGAAAGCGUGGGGAGCAAACAGG